GAUAUCAGGGUCAAAAGGUCAAUAAAUCCGACGCAAGCCUGCUUGCGGGAGGAUGUUUGAACUUGAGACCCGCCAAAACACCGAAAAGCAGCCAUUUUUCAUAGAAAAAUGAGCGGAUUUGAGGGUUUUGAGGAUUGCGGGAGCACAUAGUGCGGAGCAAUCCGA
rnacentral:sRNA from 1 species